rnacentral:rRNA from 1 species
AUGCAAGUCGAACGAACUCUGGUAUUGAUUGGUGCUUGCAUCAUGAUUUACAUUUGAGUGAGUGGCGAACUGGUGAGUAACACGUGGGAAACCUGCCCAGAAGCGGGGGAUAACACCUGGAAACAGAUGCUAAUACCGCAUAACAACUUGGACCGCAUGGUCCGAGCUUGAAAGAUGGCUUCGGCUAUCACUUUUGGAUGGUCCCGCGGCGUAUUAGCUAGAUGGUGGGGUAACGGCUCACCAUGGCAAUGAUACGUAGCCGACCUGAGAGGGUAAUCGGCCACAUUGGGACUGAGACACGGCCCAAACUCCUACGGGAGGCAGCAGUAGGGAAUCUUCCACAAUGGACGAAAGUCUGAUGGAGCAACGCCGCGUGAGUGAAGAAGGGUUUCGGCUCGUAAAACUCUGUUGUUAAAGAAGAACAUAUCUGAGAGUAACUGUUCAGGUAUUGACGGUAUUUAACCAGAAAGCCACGGCUAACUACGUGCCAGCAGCCGCGGUAAUACGUAGGUGGCAAGCGUUGUCCGGAUUUAUUGGGCGUAAAGCGAGCGCAGGCGGUUUUUUAAGUCUGAUGUGAAAGCCUUCGGCUCAACCGAAGAAGUGCAUCGGAAACUGGGAAACUUGAGUGCAGAAGAGGACAGUGGAACUCCAUGUGUAGCGGUGAAAUGCGUAGAUAUAUGGAAGAACACCAGUGGCGAAGGCGGCUGUCUGGUCUGUAACUGACGCUGAGGCUCGAAAGUAUGGGUAGCAAACAGGAUUAGAUACCCUGGUAGUCCAUACCGUAAACGAUGAAUGCUAAGUGUUGGAGGGUUUCCGCCCUUCAGUGCUGCAGCUAACGCAUUAAGCAUUCCGCCUGGGGAGUACGGCCGCAAGGCUGAAACUCAAAGGAAUUGACGGGGGCCCGCACAAGCGGUGGAGCAUGUGGUUUAAUUCGAAGCUACGCGAAGAACCUUACCAGGUCUUGACAUACUAUGCAAAUCUAAGAGAUUAGACGUUCCCUUCGGGGACAUGGAUACAGGUGGUGCAUGGUUGUCGUCAGCUCGUGUCGUGAGAUGUUGGGUUAAGUCCCGCAACGAGCGCAACCCUUAUUAUCAGUUGCCAGCAUUAAGUUGGGCACUCUGGUGAGACUGCCGGUGACAAACCGGAGGAAGGUGGGGAUGACGUCAAAUCAUCAUGCCCCUUAUGACCUGGGCUACACACGUGCUACAAUGGAUGGUACAACGAGUUGCGAACUCGCGAGAGUAAGCUAAUCUCUUAAAGCCAUUCUCAGUUCGGAUUGUAGGCUGCAACUCGCCUACAUGAAGUCGGAAUCGCUAGUAAUCGCGGAUCAGCAUGCCGCGGUGAAUACGUUCCCGGGCCUUGUACACACCGCCCGUCACACCAUGAGAGUUUGUAACACCCAAAGUCGGUGGGGUAACCUUUUAGGAACCAG